rnacentral:lncRNA from 10 species
UUAGAAGUAAGAGCCAUUACAAUGUUGGUUUUACAAGCCACUGGGCUUUAUAGCAACAUCAGAGUCCUGGUGGGUCAGGAGAAAAGGAGACAGCACUCGUCAGUAGCAGACAAGAGCAACUUAGCAUUCCAUAUAAUCUUGGAGAGAGCUGGUCUAAGUGCCUCAGAUCUAUAGCCAGUUGCCUUGGAAUCUCUGCUGAGUACUUCAUCAAGCACCUGCUGUUUGAAGAGGGAAUAAGCCAGAAUAAAAUUCUCGCUCUUCAGGGUAGAAUGUGGACUGAGAAACGUGCAACGCUUCAAAGAGAACAUUUUCCCAACGUCCAGUUCGAAUAUGGACAAGGAGGAUAAUGAUAAAGGAAAAUCCUCCUGGAGGGCCGAGGGCAGAACCAAGUGGAAUAGAGGAUUGGCACGUUCUUCCCAAAGAGCAGAAUGAGGGCCCAGCCACAUAUCCUUGUUAAUUCUGGAUAAAGACCCUGAAGAUAUC